AACGGUCUAUACCUGCGGUACCUGCGGAAGGAUCAUUACAGAGUUCGUGCCCUCUGGGUAGAUCUCCCACCCACUGUUUUCCUUACGACCGUUGCUUUGGCGGGCCGCCGGCCCUGCCCGGCCGCCGGCGCCCAGCUGGCGCGCGCCCGCCAGAGGCCCUCCAGACUCUGAAUGUUAGCGUCGUCUGAGUACCACAUAAUAAGUUAAAACUUUCAACAAUGGAUCUCUAGAUCGGAAGAG
rnacentral:misc_RNA from 1 species